rnacentral:lncRNA from 1 species
GGCGGCUGUCGGGGCCCAUCCUUGUGAAUGCCUAGAGUGUGUGGGGGGGCAGAGUGACGGUGCAGCGCUAACACUACCCAGGCACAAGGGGACCCGAGGUCUCCAGGACUAGAGCAAGGAGAGGCGCGGUCAGGCGUGCAGGCACAGGCUUCCACGAGGAGGCCACUGUCCCCACCAGCUCAUGGUCCCUCAUGCUUGAGGUGGGGCUUUCCCAUGGGAGAAGUGGCAGGGGCUUUCUUGCUGGCAGGAUUGGUGAGAGAGACAGCCAGGGGACAUUCAGAGGAGGCCUGGGGAGGAAACGGGGUGUGGGUGAGAAGGGAGCAAAGCUGUCACCCUGAAGCCACUCCCCACACUCCUCCCUGAGGGCCAGGUUGGAUCCAGCAUGGGAUGUGGAAUCCGGGAUCGGCCUUACCCCUCGCUCCUCACUGUGCCCCGCCCUACGGAGCACCUCACAUCCACCCCUGCCCCGCCUGGAGGUCCACAGGUGCUGGUGUGGACUGCCCCUGGCCCCUCCUACAGGAAGGCUCCCGGCCGGCUGGAAGCCGCUCUCCUCUGAAGGCCAGCAGCCCUUGCUGGCUUUUGCUCUUGGCUCUCCUUCCCACUGUCCCCUAAAGUGUGUGGAGGGUACAAAGCGACCGUUCACGGUUCACACUGCCUAGGCACAAGGGGACCGAGGUCUCUAGGGACUAGAACAAGGGCAUGGUCACGUGUGCAGGCUCUCCCUCUGGAGGUCAUGGCAGGAACGGCAUGGUCCUUCCAGGAUGGUGGCUGGGGUGGGUUG